rnacentral:rRNA from 1 species
CCUACGGGAGGCAGCAGUGGGGAAUAUUGGGCAAUGGGCGCAAGCCUGACCCAGCAACGCCGCGUGAAGGAAGAAGGCUCUCGGGUUGUAAACUUCUUUUCUGAGGGACGAAGAAAGUGACGGUACCUCAGGAAUAAGCCACGGCUAACUACGUGCCAGCAGCCGCGGUAAUACGUAGGCGGCAAGCGUUAUCCGGAUUUAUUGGGUGUACAGGGCGUGUAGGCGGGAAAGCAAGUCAGAUGUGAAAACUCAGGGCUCAACCCUGAGCCUGCAUUUGAAACUGUUUUUCUUGAGUGCUGGAGAGGCAAGCGGAAUUCCGUGUGUAGCGGUGAAAUGCGUAGAUAUACGGAGGAACGCCAGUGGCGAAGGCGGAUUGCGGGACAGGAACUGACGCUGAGGCGCGAAAGCGUGGGGAGCAAACAGGAUUAGAUACCCCAGUAGUC